rnacentral:rRNA from 1 species
UACGUAGGGGGCAAGCGUUGUCCGGAAUCAUUGGGCGUAAAGAGCGUGUAGGCGGCCUGAUAAGUCGGUUGUGAAAGUCAAGGGCUCAACCCUUGAAUGCCGACCGAUACUGUCAGGCUAGAGUCCGGAAGAGGCGAGUGGAAUUCCUGGUGUAGCGGUGAAAUGCGCAGAUAUCAGGAGGAACAUCCGUGGCGAAGGCGGCUCUCUGGGACGGUACUGACGCUGAGACGCGAAAGCGUGGGGAGCGAACAGG